UACAGAGGUGGCAAGCGUUGUUCGGAAUUACUGGGCGUAAAGGGCGCGUAGGCGGCCCACUAAGUCAGACGUGAAAUCCCUCGGCUUAACCGGGGAACUGCGUCUGAUACUGGCGAGCUUGAGUGCAGGAGAGGAACGCGGAAUUCCAGGUGUAGCGGUGAAAUGCGCAGAUAUCGGGAAGAACACCCGUGGCGAAGGCGGUUCUCUGGGACGGUACUGACGCUGAGACGCGAAAGCGUGGGGAGCGAACAGG
rnacentral:rRNA from 1 species